GAAAUGCGAUAAGUAGUGUGAAUUGCAGAAUUCAGUGAAUCAUCGAAUCUUUGAACGCACAUUGCCCCUUGGUAUUCCAUGGGGCAUGCCUGUUCGAGCGUCAUUUGUACCCUCAAGCUCUGCUUGGUGUUGGGUGUUUGUCCCGUCUCCGCGCGUGGACUCGCCCCAAAGUGAUUGGCAGCCGGCGUACUGGUCCCGGAGCGCAGCACAUGUCGCGCAAACGAGUGCCUUGGUACGGCGGCGUCCAUAAGCCCCUCUCUCACGCUCUUGACCUCGGAUCAGGUAGGGAUACCCGCUGAACUUAAGC
rnacentral:misc_RNA from 1 species